UCUUUUUUUUUUUUUUUAUUUUUUUU
rnacentral:misc_RNA from 1 species